rnacentral:rRNA from 1 species
AGCGAACGCUAGCGGCGGGCCUAACACAUGCAAGUCGAGCGGGGGAGCAAUCCCCAGCGGCGGACGGGUGAGUAACACGUAGGUUAUGUGCCCUUUGGUGGGGAAUAACCGUGGGAAACCAUGGCUAAUUCCGCAUAUCGAGCGAAAUCUUGAAAGCCUUCGGGCGCCAAAAGGAGCAACCUGCGGCCCAUUAGCUUGUUGGUAGGGUAACGGCCUACCAAGGCGAUGAUGGGUAGCUGGUCUGAGAGGAUGAUCAGCCACACUGGAACUGAGACACGGUCCAGACUCCUACGGGAGGCAGCAGUGGGGAAUAUUGCGCAAUGGGCGAAAGCCUGACGCAGCCACGCCGCGUGAGUGAUGAAGGCCUUC